rnacentral:rRNA from 1 species
CUAACCUGCCCACUGAUUUAUUAAAGGGCCGCGGUAUAUUGACUGUGCAAAGGUAGCAUAAUCAUUUGUCUUUUAAUUGAAGGCUAGAAUGAAUGGUUGAAUGAAGUAUAAACUGUCUCAUUUUAAAAAAAAUAAAAAUUUAGUUUUUAAGUGAAAAAGCUUAAAUAAAAUUGGAGGACGAGAAGACCCUAUAGAUCUUUAUAUUUUAUUUUAUUUAAAAAAUUUAUAAUAAAUUAAUUUUAAAUAAAAUAAAAUAUUUAGUUGGGGUGACUGGAAAAUUUAAUAAACUAUUUUUAUUUAAUAACAUAAAUUUAUGAAUUAUUGAUCCAAUUUUAUUGAUUAAAAAUUUAAGUUACCUUAGGGAUAACAGCGUAAUUAUUUUAAAGAGUUCUUAUCGAUAAAAUAGAUUGCGACCUCGAUGUUGAAUUAAAGAU